rnacentral:rRNA from 1 species
AGAGUUUGAUCCUGGCUCAGGAUGAACGCUAGCGGCAGGCUUAACACAUGCAAGUCGAGGGGUAGAGGUUGCUUGCAACCUUGAGACCGGCGCACGGGUGCGUAACGCGUAUGCAACCUACCUUUUACAGAGGGAUAGCCCAGAGAAAUUUGGAUUAAUACCUCAUAGUAUAUAUCUUUCGCAUGUUAGGUAUAUUAAAGUUCCAACGGUAAAAGAUGGGCAUGCGUCCUAUUAGCUAGAUGGUAAGGUAACGGCUUACCAUGGCUACGAUAGGUAGGGGUCCUGAGAGGGAGAUCCCCCACACUGGUACUGAGACACGGACCAGACUCCUACGGGAGGCAGCAGUGAGGAAUAUUGGACAAUGGGCGCAAGCCUGAUCCAGCCAUGCCGCGUGCAGGAAGAAGCAUCUAUGGUGUGUAAACUGCUUUUGUACAGGAAGAAACAUCCCGACGUGUCGGGRCUUGACGGUACUGUAAGAAUAAGGAUCGGCUAACUCCGUGCCAGCAGCCGCGGUAAUACGGAGGAUCCAAGCGUUAUCCGGAAUCAUUGGGUUUAAAGGGUCCGUAGGCGGUUUGGUAAGUCAGUGGUGAAAGCCCGCAGCUCAACUGUGGAACGGCCAUUGAUACUGCCAGACUUGAAUUACAAGGAAGUAACUAGAAUAUGUAGUGUAGCGGUGAAAUGCUUAGAUAUUACAUGGAAUACCAAUUGCGAAGGCAGGUUACUACUUGUGGAUUGACGCUGAUGGACGAAAGCGUGGGGAGCGAACAGGAUUAGAUACCCUGGUAGUCC